rnacentral:rRNA from 1 species
UACGGAGGGUGCGAGCGUUGUCCGGAAUCACUGGGCGUAAAGGGCGCGUAGGCGGCCUGAUAAGUAGGGGGUGAAAUCCUGCGGCUUAACCGCAGGGCUGCCUUCUAAACUGUCAGGCUAGAGCACAGUAGAGGCAGGUGGAAUUCCCGGUGUAGCGGUGGAAUGCGUAGAGAUCCGGAAGAACACCAGUGGCGAAGGCGGUCUGCUGGGCAGUUGCUGACACUGAUGCGCGACAGCGUGGGGAGCAAACAGG